CUCUGCUUUGGUGGUUGGCUGAUGUUCUCGGUUAAGGGGUUUGUUGUCUGGUUCAAGGCCUCCUGCUGUCCUACAUCACAUUUUUUUUUCUUUGUUCUGAAUUUCUGAUGGAUGUGUGUGUGCAUGAUGCAUGGCUGGUGGUGACCUCGGACCAGGCUUCAUUCCCUUUAACCAGCAUUUGCGUUAAUACCAUCAGGCA
rnacentral:miRNA from 1 species